UUGACCUCAAAUCAGGUAGG
rnacentral:rRNA from 21 species